UACGAAGGGGGCUAGCGUUGUUCGGAUUUACUGGGCGUAAAGCGCACGUAGGCGGAUUGUUAAGUCGGGGGUGAAAUCCUGGAGCUCAACUCCAGAACUGCCUUCGAUACUGGCAAUCUAGAGUCCGGAAGAGGUGAGUGGAACUCCUAGUGUAGAGGUGGAAUUCGUAGAUAUUAGGAAGAACACCAGUGGCGAAGGCGGCUCACUGGUCCGGUACUGACGCUGAGGUGCGAAAGCGUGGGGAGCAAACAGG
rnacentral:rRNA from 1 species